GGUGGUGGCUCAGUGGUAGAGUGCUCGCCUAGCAUGUGUGAGGCACUGGGUUCUAUCCUCAGCACCACCU
rnacentral:tRNA from 1 species